AGCUCGGGCGGCUCACUGCGGCGUCGCCACGGCCCCACCCACGGGCUGAGUGGGAGAUAGCGCUGCCGGGGCCAGACGUCCAGCGGACCUCGCCCGGCGCCGUUCGCGGGGUGUUCGGGCGGACACACAGACACAGUCCGCGCUCCUGUAGCGUCCACAGCCCGCUUCGUGUCAGGGGCCAGACUGGCUGCUGGGGGUGCACAGAUGGACUCGGGGCGGCUCCUGCCCUCACGAGGCUCACAGACAGAUUCCUUCACUCGGCCUCCAGUUCUGACCCAGUGGGUGGUGUACGCCAUCCGCAACCUUACCGAAGACAAUAGUCAGAACCAAGAUCUGAUUGCGAAGAUGGAGGAACAGGGACUGGCGGACGCAUCCCUACUUAAAAAGAUGGGCUUUGAAGUUGAGAAGAGGGGUGACAAGCUGAUUCUGAAACCUACUAGUGACCCACCUCCGCUGUGAAUGAACUCUCCAUCGAAAUAUCUGAAUUUUUGGAAUCUGUUUCCUGGAUUUUCGUCUUCUGCAGUAUGUGAAAUUGCAAGUGUUUGAAGAUUUAUUAAGUGCGAAUUCAGGAACACAUGAAUCCUUUAGAUAAUAGAGUUUAAUGUGGAUAAGCUCAAAAGUGAAAGUACAUGAGUAUUCUGUUGUUUCUUUGCUUUAGAAACUGUCUGGUUUGCCUUUGUCCCCAUGGAUACAGUGUGCAUUUAAGUAAUAUAUUGUACUUACUGUGGCAACAGAUAAUAAAUUCUUCUCCUCGAGGGUGCAUCCCUUAUUUGGCAAAGACUGGAGCAUUUGAUUGGAUUCCAUUUGUUCCUUCAGAUGGCAAAUCAGCCUGAUUCCUUUUCUUCUCUGCUUGUUGGGUUUUCUGCACUCUGCCAGGCAGUUGAAGUAGUUUCUCACUGUGAUUAAUUCUAGCAAUCUCUUUUCACCCUUUCUGCCUUUCCAAAACAUUGACAAGACUCAUUUCCAGCUAAUUAAUUCGAGAGAUGCUGAAGAAUAGAGAAGCUCCAUCUUCAUUUUAGGGACUGGGCUGUGCUGUCACUGAGCCCGCCCUUUGGAACGUUGUCGCAGGGAGUGAGCGGAGUGGGGAGAGCUUGCAGGCCAUUAACUCUUCUCUUUCCAAAUCACCCGGGAAGAGACCUCCCGGACCAUUGUGCUCCCAGGGGGAUGCCUGCCUCUGACCCACUUUUCGUGCCUCUGUGAAGGGGGCUCUGUGCACAGGACCACAGGAUUAAAGAGCGUCCGUGUCUUGUUCACUUUCAAAGGCACAGUCUCCCAAAGCACGCCACCCCAGUUCCGGCCACGGCUCCACUUUCCGGAAUUGCAAAAGUAGCUUUGGGGAGCGAGAGCAAAUUUGACCUGUAUCUUUCUAUUUCCAUCUCUCUCUCUCUCUCUCUCCCUAUAUAUAUAUAUAUACAUAUAUUAGAGCUGGAGCAUUAAAACGAGCACUGAAAUUUCAGAUCAUUGAUGUAACCAAAAAAGCUCUAGAAGGGAGGUCAUGUAUGAACAUUCCUGAACAGCCAGUUAUUAAAAGCUAUCUAGAGAUUUUGCACAGUUCCUGUUGAAUCUUCCAAAAUAAAAACAACAAAGAUUCAGCCAGAAGUGUUACAGAAAUACUGAUUGUUCCAGAGUAAAGUGCUUUUAAGUUUUUUUGGUAGCCAUACUUAAAUUGCUUUUGUAAAAACAGCUUAAGCAUAUUCAGAAUGAAAUGAAAGUUGUCCCCCUUGCUAAUGUACUCUGUAUCUCUGAAGAAACUCAGCUUCUAGAAUUGUGGUAAUCUGUGAAUAACAUUUUUUUCUCUCUCAUUUAUGACAUUCCAUCAGUAAAGAAGCCUUUGCAAAAUUUAAAAUGCACAAAGAAGUCGUUCUUUCCUGGGACACAAAGAGUUAACAUCCUGUCCUCUAAAUAGAGGGCCCGCCAAAGGAAAAAAAAACAGUGGGAGUCCCUUUUUCCUUUUAACAAGUUUGCAAUAGACACUUCUUUUUCUUCUUCUCUCAAUGGAUGUAUGCACACCAGUGGAAUCAAACAAACAUGUCGGUAUAAGCCAUAUAAUAACAAACACAAAUAAACAAAAGGGAGCCUUGUGUGGGAACACAGAACGGGGUAAUGGCUGUGUGUUUUCUAACUAGGAAAUGUGGGGCUUGCAUAGUGAAAACAGGCUGACAGCUGCAUUGUGGCUGCUUGGACGCCCUGGAUGGCUAAUCCUCCAGCACAACCAACAGCUUCCCUGUCCUCCCUCCACCACUUGGCCAUUCUGAGAGCCUCGUUCUACAUGCUUGCUGCAGAGGAUUAAAUCACCAUCUCAAUCAGGCAUUUAGAAGAAGAAGAAAGGCAGGCAGGCUAGCCUUACAGCAUUUGUAAAGGGACAGAAUGGUCGCAGCAAGUUUUGUGACCAUAUUAUCUUCCAAGAGCAAACUAACAAAGCUGUUCGAUUUUUUAGCCUGUUCCGUUAUCAAAGAAAGUGGGGGAAGGCUUUUCUGCUUGAUACUGAGUCCAAGUAUUUGCAGAGUGAUUUUGUUUAAUGCAUUAACAAUGCAUGCUAAUGUUUCAAAACUACUUGCACGAUUUUAGUAAUAUGCUAUUAUAAUUUGUCCGUAUUUUAUAUAUAUGUAUAUGUCCACAUGAAUACACCUCGUAGGGUUGUUUGUGAGGUUUUUUUAGAAGCUAAUAUUGAGAUACGUUUUUGUUCAGUAACUUCUGAAUCUAGCCACAGAGCUUGGAAACUACUAAAAAUGCCCAUUUUGCAAAAUGAAAUACAGAGAAGUGAUUGUGGUCAUUUGGGCUACAAUUAGUACAUUUUAAGUCAAAUGGGCACAAGAUAUAUAUAUAUAUCUUGUGCCCAUUAAUAUAUCUCAUGCCCAUUACCUACUGAAGGCAUCAAUAUCCUGUUCUUUUACCAACACCUGGAAUUGAAAUGUUAUUUAAAUGUCAUCACUAUCCCUUCAUUUCCAUCCUUGAAUGAAUAAACAAAGACAUUGUAAUAGAAAUGCCAGUCUCUGCAGGAGGAAGACUUUAAAGUACAUGUUCCAUCAUCAGUAAGUUCUGCACAUAGGAACCAGUUUUUACAUGAGAGUCAAUAAAAUUGAGACAGAAUUGUAAAAUGCAGAGAAGUUGAGAAAGAACCCUACCACUCAAAGUCUGAUACAAACCCAGUCCUUCCUUUGGAAGGUGGUGGCGGGGAGAGAGGGCACUUUGGGCGCUGUCCACGGUCCUGAUAAUUCUAGCCCCAGUGGCCUGUAUAUGAAAAUCAAUUAAAAACCUUGUUUUCAAAA